rnacentral:rRNA from 1 species
CCUACGGGUGGCUGCAGUGGGGAAUAUUGGGCAAUGGGCGCAAGCCUGACCCAGCAACGCCGCGUGAAGGAAGAAGGCUUUCGGAUUGUAAACUUCUUUUCUCAGGGACGAUGAAAGUGACAGUGCCUGAGGAAUAAGCCACGACUAACUACGUGCCAGCAGCCGCGGUAAUACGUAGGUGGCAAGCGUUAUCCGGAUUUACUGGGUGUAAAGGGCGUGGAGGCGGGAAUGAAAGGCAGAUGUGAAAACCCCGGGCUCAACCUGUGGCCUGCAUUUAUAACUGUAGUUCUUGAGUACUGGAGAGGAAGACGGAAUACCUAGUGUAGAGGUGAAAUGCGUAGAUAUUAGGUGGAACACCAGUGGCGAAGGCGGUCUGCUGGACAGCUACUGACGCUGAGGCGCGAAAGCAUGGGGAGCAAACAGGAUUAGAUACCCGUGUAGUC